AGGAAAGGUGCCCAUGAGCUCUUAAACCAUUAUAUGAUGUGCUAUUUUUUCCAAUUUGGAAUCUUGAGUCCUAACAUUCUACUACGAAGAGAUCGUGUUAUAUUGUGAAAUAACUCGAACCAGCCACCACAAACAUGACGAAAAAGUGAUUGAUUUUGGGUACCAAUUUACGAUAGGUUUCUGUAGAAAUGUCACCUAAAUUUAUACCCAAGUUUCAAUUUGUCACCUUAAAGAAAACUUUAAGAGUAAUGUCACCUUAAUUUUUCUGAUCCCCUUUCUCCUUGCUGAUAACCAACCGUGAGGAAGCUAAAGGGGGCAGGUGGCCACUGCCCCUCCUCUUCCCCUUCCUCUCCUCAUCUCCCCUUCUUUUUCUCCCAUAUUUUCUUUUCCUCUUCUCCCAUUCCCCUCCCCAGAUAGUCUAGAUCUGUUUGUCUAUUUGUUUUGUUUGGUUGUUUUUGCAGUGUUCUAGGUGGCUGGUGUUGUCUUUGUCUCAGCGGCGGCGACAAUAGUGACGCUGGAUUGUGUCUCUCCUUGGGAGAGUUGUGAUACCUGGUGGCUGAUAUUUUGUCUCUAUUUUAACGGCGGCGGAAACAACGACGCUGGUGGUAAUUGUUGGGAGGUGCUCUUCUUUACUCUGCACCGACCGAAGAACUAUGCUUGGUCAUAGGAGGUUUUCUUUGUCAGGUUCUGAGUUGAAGUGAAGUGCUUAUCAUGGGUCUUUUUAUUAUUUUUCUGUGUUCGUCCUCCGUGUUCUCUCCUGGUUUCUGCUAUGGUAUGACUUAUAGUUUGUAUGAGUGUCAAAGGACUAUGAUUUUGCUCAUAGAAGGCUUCUUUUGACAAUUGGGAUGUUCUGCGGUCCUUUCAUAUGAGUUUACUAUUUGGGGUUUCUACGGUUCUCUCAUGUGGGUCUACUGUGUUGAUCUCUAGUUGCGGUUCUUAUCGGAGGUCUUUGUGUUAGGUUUUGUUUUUAACUUGUUCUUUUAUUGUAAUGGUCCAAAGUGACUUGAAUUGGACUCUCAUGUUAGUCCAUGACGUGUGUGGUACUCUUUCCUCCCAUGUGAUUUGUCCCAUGAGGUUGUCCUAUGAAGGUUUUAACGAGGCCACUGUAUUAUGUCGCUCUUUGUACGUCUGUGGUUUUAUGAAUGAAUUCUACUUCUAAA
rnacentral:lncRNA from 1 species